CUUGUCCCUAGAGGCAUUGCAGGGGUGGCUGCUGUGUCACAGGUGUGUCAGUAGGUGGCAGAAAACCAAGAGGCCAUGUCUAUACUCAGUGUUCUGACCAGUGAAUAUCCUGGGACUGAAGGCCUCUGGCA